CGAGAAGGUCAGUCAACAAGCACACACCGGAAGUCCUGACCUUUCCUUCCUCAGAGCGCCUGCUCUCUUCUCUCCACCCAUUUCCGGUUGUGAGGUCGCCUGGCCCGUCUGCACAGCAGAGCUGUGUGAGCUCCAGCACCCAGAGAGUGUUCCCAGCACUUGUGAUUCAAGCAGAACCAAAUAAAUUCCCUGCCAUCCCUCCCCCUUCUCUGCUGUGGGGUAGUGAAAAUUACAACAAAACAGCACCGAUAAAUCAAGAAGCACUUGGAGACUAUUCCAUGGAAUUGGCCCAAGGAAGAGUCUGAAACCAGGGAGGAGAAGAAAAUGGGUCAUUAGUGACAGCCUGAUAACAGGGGCCAUGGAGCCUGGGCUGGAAGACGCCAUGGUGGAUGUGACCCCUGCAGCAGGCAGUGUCCCUCCACGGGUCUCGGCACUCCAUGCAGGAGGACGCCUGCCUCGCAGCACACAGGCUGUGUCCUCAGAGGUUCAGGUAAAAGGCCAAGGUCCUUGGUAGGGUUUGUGAGGUGCAACACAGAGUUUGUGAGGUGCAAAGCUUCGCAGCAUGCUGGCUGGGGUGGCUGGCUGUCCCCCAAGACAGAGCGUGAGGGCGGCUUCCCCUGACAAAGCUGUGCUGAGCUCACCUGUGUGAGGAACCAGUCCCAUCACCACAAUUAGCACACGUCCCCUUUCACAGCACCUUGGAGAGGCUCUUCUUCCCCUAUGUAGCAGACAGCAGAGUUUUGAAGAGUAGAUGGCUCCCCAGACCUUCUGGAAUGUUCUCCCCAUAGAGAUGGCAUGGAGACCUACAUGGUGCUGGCAUUCUCCUUGGUCUAUGCAGAUUUAAAUUCUCAGGGAUCAGACUUGCAAGGCAAGGCCCAGGAGUUGGGAAAUACAUGCAUGUUCUUGCAGAUGGGUGGAGAGGCAAAAUAGUAUUUGUCAGAAAGGUAGAUUAAAAGGGAUGUGGGCUCUGGGAGUGCAGAGCAGCCAUCAGCAAAGGCCGUCUGCCAUCUCUCCUUCCAUCCAUGGAACUGUUGGCGUUCAGAGCAAAGCCUCUUCUGACUUACAAUGUCUCAUUUUCAGGAUGUGCCCCAAGGGCAGGAGGACCAAACUCUCUCUUUUGAUAACUGUGCCAGAGGGGUUC